rnacentral:rRNA from 1 species
UACAGAGGUCUCAAGCGUUGUUCGGAUUCAUUGGGCGUAAAGGGUGCGUAGGCGGCGCGGUAAGUCGGGUGUGAAAUCUCGGAGCUUAACUCCGAAACUGCAUUCGAUACUGCCGUGCUUGAGGACUGGAGAGGAGACUGGAAUUUACGGUGUAGCGGUGAAAUGCGUAGAUAUCGUAAGGAAGACCAGUGGCGGAAGGCGGGUCUCUGGACAGUUCCUGACGCUGAGGCACGAAGGCCAGGGGAGCAAACGGG